GCCAGACUCCUACGGGAGGCAGCAGUGGGGAAUAUUGGACAAUGGGGGGAACCCUGGUCCAGCGACGCCGCGUGAGUGAAGAAGUAUUUCGGUAUGUAAAGCUCUCUCAGCAGGGAAGAAAGAAAUGACGGUACCUGACUAAGAAGCCCCGGCUAACUACGUGCCAGCAGCCGCGGUAAUACGUAGGGGGCAAGCGUUAUCCGGAUUCACUGGGUGUAAAGGGAGCGUAGACGGCGACGCAAGUCUGGAGUGAAAGCCCGGGGCCCAACCCCGGGACUGCUCUGGAAACUGCGGCGCUGGAGUACGGGAGGGGCAGGCGGAAUUCCUGGUGUAGCGGUGAAAUGCGUAGAUAUCAGGAGGAACACCGGCGGCGAAGGCGGCCUGCUGGACCGUGACUGACGUUGAGGCUCGAGAGCGUGGGGAGCAAACAGGAUUAGAUACCCUCGUA
rnacentral:rRNA from 1 species